rnacentral:snoRNA from 14 species
AUUAUGAUGAUUCCUUUCCCCGUCUUACUCGACUAUGCUUGAAAACAUAAGGUUUACUAUUAAUUCUAGCCAAAAACAUCUGAU